UACGUAGGGUGCGAGCGUUGUCCGGAAUUAUUGGGCGUAAAGGGCUCGUAGGCGGUUUGUCGCGUCGGGAGUGAAAACUCAGGGCUUAACCCUGAGCCUGCUUCCGAUACGGGCAGACUAGAGGUAUGCAGGGGAGAACGGAAUUCCUGGUGUAGCGGUGAAAUGCGUAGAUAUCGAGAGGAACACCUGCGGCGAAGGCGGGUAGCUGGGCCGACACUGACGCUGAGGCGCGAAAGCCAGGGGAGCGAACGGG
rnacentral:rRNA from 1 species